rnacentral:rRNA from 1 species
UACAGAGGGUGCGAGCGUUAAUCGGAGUUACUGGGCGUAAAGGGCGCGUAGGCGGCUCAUGAAGGCUGUGGUGAAAGUCCGGGGCUCAACCUCGGAUCGGCCGUGGCGACUCGUGGGCUGGAGCACUGUAGAGGCGGGUGGAAUUCCGGGUGUAGCGGUGGGAUGCGUAGAGAUCCGGAAGAACACCAGUGGCGAAGGCGGCCCGCUGGGCAGUGGCUGACGCUGAGGCGCGACAGCGUGGGGAGCAAACAGG